AUUUCUUCACAGCUUCACGUGCACGUCUCUGCCAUCUUGGACUAGUAGACUUCGCGGGUGCAAAUACUAAUAAUAUGUUGGGUGAUGUCGUCCUUGAAACACACAAAUGCAUUAGUAAUGAAGAAAUAAGGCAACAAGAAUCAAGAUUGCGAGCAUGAAUCUACAGAAAUGAAGCAAGGAAGUAGGUAUACCUGGCCCUGGUGUAUUCAUUAUGCUGGGAUGGUAAUGGUGUUCCAUGUAGUCCUCCUGAUAUAUCCCUACCAAUGAGUUAGCUGGGUUACUACAGAACCUUCCUAAUCCAGGUGCUAAUAUCCCUACCAAUGAGCUAGCUGGGUUACUACAGAACCUUCCUAAUCCAGGUAUGCUGGCUUCAUAGUCUUUAAUUCGUUAUAUAAGAUACACAGGAAUUCCGG